UACAGAGGUCUCAAGCGUUGUUCGGAUUCAUUGGGCGUAAAGGGUGUGUAGGCGGUGCGGCAAGUUGGGAGUGAAAUCUCUGGGCUUAACCCAGAGGCUGCUUCCAAAACUGCUGUGCUUGAGUGUGGGAGAGGCGCGUGGAAUUGCAGGUGUAGCGGUGAAAUGCGUAGAUAUCUGCAGGAACACCCGUGGCGAAAGCGGCGCGCUGGACCACUACUGACGCUGAGGAACGAAAGCGAGGGGAGCAAACAGG
rnacentral:rRNA from 1 species